rnacentral:rRNA from 1 species
GACUAAGCUGUCUCUUACGGAUAUUCAAUGAAACUGAUCUUUCAGUCCAAAAGCUGAAAUACCUACACUAGACGAGAAGACCCUGUGGAGCUUCCUAAACCAAUACCAACCCCUAUGGUUAUACGGUUUUUAGUUGGGGCGACUUCGGAGAACAAAAAAACCUCCAACUUGGAAAUUUUCCUAAUUAAGAUCUACACAUCUAAAUAUAUAACUUGACCCAGUAGGCACUAUCCCUAUCUGACCAAGGAACCAAGUUACCCCAGGGAUAACAGCGCUAUCCUCUUUUAGAGUCCCUAUCGACAAGAGGGCUUACGACCUCGAUGU